rnacentral:rRNA from 1 species
UACGAAGGGGGCUAGCGUUGUUCGGAAUUACUGGGCGUAAAGCGCGCGCAGGCGGCUAUCCAAGUCAGUGGUGAAAGCCCGGAGCUCAACUCCGGAACUGCCAUUGAAACUGUUUAGCUUGAGGACGAGAGAGGUGAGUGGAAUUCCCAGUGUAGAGGUGAAAUUCGUAGAUAUUGGGAAGAACACCGGUGGCGAAGGCGGCUCACUGGCCCGUUUCUGACGCUCAUGCACGACAGCGUGGGGAUCAAACAGG